UCACUAGUUUUAUGGUCAUUCUUCUCUUGCUCACCAACAGAUGGGAGCAGAGAUUUCUCGACUCAUGAGAUUUUCAGGCUACAGCCCUUGCAGUCUUUUGAAGACUAAAAGGGGCAAAAAAAAGAAAACCAAACAAUGACAAUAUAACUCAUUCAUGUGUCCACAGGGAGAAGGACAUUGUUUUCUUUAGUGGCAUACAAAUGAGGGUUGUAAUGGGAGUCAAAUGGAAACCAGGAGUCAGCACUCUUGAAUUCUUUAACCUUGGGAAUCUCUGGUUUGGUAUCUAGCGCUGGUCAAAGGUAUUUAAUAUGUUUACAACCCCUCAUUGUUAUUUCCCAGAUAUAAGUGUGUUUUGCUUGGAUCCAAGCCUUUACAAAAGCAAAUAAACAUGUCCUAAACUUCCAUUCAUUUUUCUUACAAGAUCAAAGAGGAAAAGCUGUCCAGAAGUAAAAAACUAAGCCUCUAAUGAGAUGAUCAGUGAAUUGUUUCUCUCUUGUACUAUAAGCAUUUAAAUUACAGUAUUGCACUUAGGGCACUCUGCACUUCUGACUGGUGUAGCAGGAUCCAGACAAAUCACUUCAGAAAUUAGCUUUCAGCCUAGGUCCCUGGCCUCUGACCUUUCAUCAGAGACAAGCCAAAUGCUGGCUAUUAAUUGUGCCUGGCACUCCUCAAGGGGUGGAUACACCAUGAGGAGUUUCCUCCCAGCAAGCAGCAAAAUUUUGGAUGGCAGUGCAGCAGCUGCACAGGUACCAGCUGUGUGACACUGCAGUGCCUCUCUGCACUGAGCACAGUGGAGUCUGUCUAUAGAAGAUGCUUACCUUGGAGAGGCAGGAUGGUCCUGGCACAAAAGCUACAACUAAACCUGCACUGAUUUUCAAAAUCCCUCACAAUCGACAAGAUUCAUGAAGGUCCUGAGUCACUGACUCAGGGAGGUGCCAGAACCUUUUUAUAAUCCUAUGCUGUUUAAACUAGAAAAUGCUUUUUUAAAAACCUAUUUACUGAUAUGAGUUUGCAUAGCUUGGGGUUUGUUUGUUAGGGGGAAUUUUGGUUAAUUCAUAAUGGGAAUAGAAAGGAUCUUGGCUUUGAACUGCAUUUCUCAGCUUUUUUUCAUGUCAUUUGCUUUACUCCAGGGGAUAGAUCUCUCCAGCUCCCUUUCAUGACAUGGCCUGAAGCAGGGGUCUGCACUGAUUUUUUUUUUUUCCUUCCCUUCUGGCAGUAACCCUACAGAUACCACUCAUCUUAACUAGCACAGCCAGAGCUGAAGUUGCCAAGAACUCUGGAAAAAAAGGGAGUAAAACAAAGUCAGCCGACUGCAUGCGAAGGAGGAGGCAGAAAAACAGGUGUCUCUGGAGCCCUCUCCACAUGAUGCUAUGGAGGGAAUUUUUUACCCUGUGAAGAAAUACCAGGGUUUUAAUUCCCUGUGGAGAAAGCCGAAAGAAGAAGCUUCGACUCAACGCCCAGCUUUUAGAUGCCUAAACUGAGCUGACAGCACUCCCUGUGCAAAGGACUGCCCAGUGACGGCCGUGUGGAUGCUGCUGCAGGGGCACGGGCUGCUCCCACCAGGGGCUGCAGUUUGUUCAGUUUCUGGCAGAUAACAAGGAAGCAUCUCCUGAUCUGUAGCUGUCUGGGGAAUGCCUUUUCUAGAGGAAAGAGAAGGUGAGGAGGAAGAAGGUUUGUGGGCUGAGUCUUGAACCUGACCUAGAGCUGUGCCAACAAAUCCAUGUGCUGUGUGUGAGUGGCCUGGGGAACAGGACCCUUGUAGGUAAGCAGGAUUGCUUCAAAGAUAUGUGGUGACAAUACCAAUUUUCCUUUGUUGUGCAGAAUACACGGAGCCCCUGGAUUUUGUCCAGCCACUUAGACUGAGGCACUCAGUCGCCUGUCUCUGGCUCCCUGGCACCGACCACAAGGCAGUGCUGACAGGCUCUUUUCAAAAAGUCUCAUGGUUUGGGUCUGUUCAGGAAAAAAGUGCCUCUUGCCACUCACCAGAUAUGCUGGAGGGCUCAAAACAUAGACAUGGAAAAGCAGUGGCCAUAGCUACUGUCUUGGCUCCUCCCAGAUGUUGGCUUUUCCAUUCUUUGGGUUAAGACUACUACUGUUUCCUCUACCAGAAUGAGCUUCAAACACCACAAUGCAAAUGCCUGGUCUGUUGUGCUCGUGGAUGUGUUUAUGAUCACUUUGAGGAUAAAAUACAACACUUUUCCAUGAUGGAGACUCCAGUCCCAGCCAAGAGAGCACAACCACACCGGUGUAACAGACCUGCUGCAAACACACCACUGCCCAGGGUACCGCCUGCAGAUCCAGUGCAGAGAAACUCUGCCUGUAAGGACAGUUCUUAACAUAAACUGCCACCCUCAACACCUGCACUGCCAGGCCGAGCUGCUGAGUC